GUGGGGAAUUUUGGACAAUGGGCGCAAGCCUGAUCCAGCAAUGCCGCGUGCAGGAAGAAGGCCUUCGGGUUGUAAACUGCUUUUGUACGGAACGAAACGGUCCGGGUUAAUACCCUGGGCUAAUGACGGUACCGUAAGAAUAAGCACCGGCUAACUACGUGCCAGCAGCCGCGGUAAUACGUAGGGUGCAAGCGUUAAUCGGAAUUACUGGGCGUAAAGCGUGCGCAGGCGGAUUUGUAAGACAGGCGUGAAAUCCCCGGGCUCAAGCUGGGAAUUGCGCUUGUGACUGCAAGGCUGGAGUGCGGCAGAGGGGGAUGGAAUUCCGCGUGUAGCAGUGAAAUGCGUAGAUAUGCGGAGGAACACCGAUGGCGAAGGCAAUCCCCUGGGCCUGCACUGACGCUCAUGCACGAAAGCGUGGGGAGCAAACAGGAUUAGAAACCCGUGUAGUCC
rnacentral:rRNA from 1 species